rnacentral:rRNA from 1 species
GGGGGGGGCUAGCGUUGUUCGGAAUUACUGGGCGUAAAGGGCGCGUAGGCGGUCUGCUAAGUUGGAUGUGAAAACUCUGGGCUUAACCCAGAGCCUGCAUUCAAUACUGACAGGCUAGAGUUCUGGAGGGGAUAGCGGAAUUCCUGGUGUAGCGGUGAAAUGCGUAGAUAUCAGGAGGAACACCGGUGGCGAAGGCGGCUAUCUGGACAGAGUCUGACGCUGAGGCGCGAAAGCUAGGGGAGCAAACAGGAUUAGAUACCCUGGUAGUCCUAGCCCUAAACGAUGGAUACUUGGUGUAACUGGGAUUGAAUCCAGUUGUGCCGAAGCUAACGCAUUAAGUAUCCCGCCUGGGGAGUACGGUCGCAAGGCUG